AAAGAGCUCUACAGCGUCAUCUGUUGGAUUCAAAUUACACUUGACCAACGCCUCUCUUUGUAUUAAUUUAUUUUCAGAGCCGAUUAUAUUUGCUGUAUGUGUAUACUAUUGUCCACUAUUUGGGAAGGGAAACGAAUGGUGACGUUUUUAGAUCCAUAGAUCUGUGUUAAAAAUAGAUAAGUGAUAUGUUGAGAAAAAUGGUUACUUCCUGUGCCGUUGGAUUUAGAGGGUCACACACACGGUUCUUUCACUGCUGCAUAAAAGAUCACGCACUGCAAUAAUGACUUUAAAAGCAGUUCACGCGACGGGAAACCUCUCGGAUGAAUGAAUGACUUGCUGUUCUCCUUCACGCGGUCACAGCAGGGUUCCGACGAGCCGCACUGAUGUGAACAAUAUGAUGGACUCUAAGCUCGUCACUGCCCAAGGUGGAGAUGUCUGCAGGCCCAGCAGGGGUGAGAUAAGGUUAUCCUUCAGGAAUGCAGAGCUGCUCGUAUGGAAGCUCAUUUAAGAACAGAGGACUGGAUGACUGAGUUCCUCUCUCACUCCGUCAGUGCAGGGCUUCGCAGAUUCUCGAUCCAAAGGGGAUCGCAGGACCAUGCACAUGCAGCAGCCAUGUGUCACUGGUGCCAGAGCCAUAGGAGGCACCUCACCGCCGUUCAGGCAAGUGUCCUCCACCCACCCGAUCGCAGCUCUGAACCUGGGAACGCCGGAGAGAAGAAAGGCCAGCCUCUGCAGGCAGAUGGCGCUGUUGCUCCAGAGCGUCUCUGCUUCAGAGUCUUCUGACCGCGCUGUAAUGCAGGGGAAGCUUGUGUUCCACCACAGUGAGGUAUUGCUUCCAGGUCGAUCGCACACAGCUCCACGUCACUCCGAUGAUAUUGAUCCACGGUAAAAGGACAUAAGAAGGGAACGCUUUCUCUGUGUGUGUGUGUGUGUGUGUGUGUGUGUGUGUGUGUGUGUGUGUG